rnacentral:rRNA from 1 species
UGAACGCUGGCGGAGUGCCUAAUACAUGCAAGUCGAGCGAACGGACGAGAAGCUUGCUUCUCUGAUGUUAGCGGCGGACGGGUGAGUAACACGUGGAUAACCUACCUAUAAGACUGGGAUAACUUCGGGAAACCGGAGCUAAUACCGGAUAAUAUUUUGAACCGCAUGGUUCAAAAGUGAAAGACGGUCUUGCUGUCACUUAUAGAUGGAUCCGCGCUGCAUUAGCUAGUUGGUAAGGUAACGGCUUACCAAGGCAACGAUGCAUAGCCGACCUGAGAGGGUGAUCGGCCACACUGGAACUGAGACACGGUCCAGACUCCUACGGGAGGCAGCAGUAGGGAAUCUUCCGCAAUGGGCGAAAGCCUGACGGAGCAACGCCGCGUGAGUGAUGAAGGUCUUCGGAUCGUAAAACUCUGUUAUUAGGGAAGAACAUAUGUGUAAGUAACUGUGCACAUCUUGACGGUACCUAAUCAGAAAGCCACGGCUAACUACGUG